UACGUAGGGGGCUAGCGUUGUCCGGAAUCAUUGGGCGUAAAGCGCGUGUAGGCGGUUCGGUAAGUCCGCUGUGAAAGUCGGGGGCUCAACCCUCGGAUGCCGGUGGAUACUGUCGGACUAGAGUACGGAAGAGGCGAGUGGAAUUCCUGGUGUAGCGGUGAAAUGCGCAGAUAUCAGGAGGAACACCGGUUGCGAAGGCAGCUCGCUGGGACGUUACUGACGCUGAGACGCGAAAGCGUGGGGAGCAAACAGG
rnacentral:rRNA from 1 species